ACCACUGAUAUUAAGUCUGUUGCCUACACUACGUGGAUAGAUGCUAUAGGUCCAUGGUACAAGGAGAUAUUAGGGAUGCCCCAGCAGUAUAUUUGAACUCCCCAAUGUGACAAAUGUUCUCGUUCUGCUAUUUCUGUAUAGAAGCAUUCAAAUCUAGCAUCAGAAAAGCUGUGUGAGAGAACAUGGGUAUGGGCAGAGAAAGAAUGUAACAACCAAGUCAUGCAAUAAACGUUUGUAGUUUGCAGCCUUAUGUGACCUUGUCAUGAAUUGAGUACAGGACCCCAGGAGCUGUCAGACUCACCCUUCCUCCUGAAAACAUAUUUGGGAUUCUUUUAGGGGUCAGUGACCUCUGAGAAUGUGGCUGUGAACUUUACCCGGGAAGAGUGGUCAUUGCUAACUCAUUCCCAGAAGAAGCUCUACAGAGCUGUGAUGCAGGAAACCUUCAGGAACCUGGCCUCUGUAGAAGUCAAGUGGUAGAGAGACUCGAUGAAUAUAAAAAAAGUAGACAGUGUGAAAAAAUGUUCAGCCAGACUCCUCCAGAUCAUAUUCUGAACAAGAAAACACUUCUUGGAGUAAAGACUCAUGAAAGCUGUGUGUGUGAAGUGGCCUUUGGUCAUUCAUCCCUUAAGAGGCACAUCACAUCUGACUCUACAUGCAGACGACUUAAGUAUCAGGAGUCUAGAGAGAAACCCUAUGAAUGUAAAAAAAUGUGAUAAAAUCUUUAAGUGGCCCAGUUACCUUCAAGAUCAUGAAAGGUCUCAUACUGGAGAGAAACCUUACGAAUGUAAGCAGUGUGGGAAAACCUUCAGUCUUCCUGUUUAUUGUCGAAGACAUGCACAAACUCACACUAGAAAGAAACAUGUGUGUGAGCAAUGUGGGCAUGCUUUCAGAUGUUCCAGUGCCGCAGUCUGGCUGGGCACAAUCAGGAGCCACUUGUCAAAAGAAACUAACUUUAUUUUUAGAACCACACACGCCAAACAAAACAGCCUCUCAGGAAAAACCCUCAGAGCCUCAACUGCCACCACCGGCUUUCCACAAGCCUCUCUCUCCAACACAAGCUUCUCUCCACCUCCCACAAUCCUCCUGCUCUUGAGGCCCAUUGGCUGGGUCACGUGGGCAGAGCCAAAAAAGUCCCCCAUUGAGCAGCUCCGUGGUCUGAAAGGGCAGGGAAACAGCCCAAUGAGCAUCACCGCAGAGGAGCCAAUCAGCUAGAUGUUGCUGGGGCCGCUGUGAGCCAAUCAUCAGCCGGCAGCUGGAAGUUUGCUGGCAGCUGGAAGUUUGCUGGGGCCCCUUUGGCUGUGGCUCUCAACAUUCCAGUUUCCUUCAAAUACAUGAACGAAUCCACACUGGAGGAAAACCUUACAUAUGUAAGCACUGUGGGAAAGCCUUCACUUGAGCCAGUACUCUUCGGAUACAUGAAAGAAAUCACAGUGGAGAGAAACCUCAUGUACAUAAGCAAUGUGGGAAAGCCUUCAAAGAGUACAGUAAAAUGCAAAGACGUGAAGAGAUGCACUCUGGAGGGAAAAACUAUGUAAGCACUGUGGGAAAGCCUGCAAGGGCUCCAAUAAUUUAGAAAAAUAUGAAAAGAUUCACAUUGGAGAGAAACCCUAUUUGUAGCAUGUGGGAAGGCUUCAUUACCAUACAACCAUUGUAGCACACAUGAGUAUGCAGAGUGGAGAGGACUCAACGCCACAGCUCUCAUCAUCUUGGUUCAGUUCACUGAUAUAGAAGAACAUAAUGUAGAGAAACACUGCUUCAAUAGAAGAUGCGUGGAAGUUUUCAGAUGGCCUACAUGUAAGGAUGCGCACUGGAUCAAAGCCCUGUGAAUGUGAAAAAUAUGAGAAAGUUGUCAGUUGUGACAAAUAGUUUGAAUAUCCUAUGAAAAUUCCUCACGCUGUGAAAUCCUAUGAAUGUUAAGAAAUCCUAUGAAUGUCAAGUCACGUGAAGAGCCUAAUACAAAGUAAUUUGUGUAAAAUGCUGUAGAAAAUAUCCUACUUGAAGCAAA